rnacentral:rRNA from 1 species
GACGAACGCUGGCGGCGUGCCUAAUACAUGCAAGUAGAACGCUGAAGGAGGAGCUUGCUUCUCUGGAUGAGUUGCGAACGGGUGAGUAACGCGUAGGUAACCUGCCUGGUAGCGGGGGAUAACUAUUGGAAACGAUAGCUAAUACCGCAUAAGAGUAGAUGUCGCAUGACAUUUGCUUAAAAGGUGCAAUUGCAUCACUACCAGAUGGACCUGCGUUGUAUUAGCUAGUUGGUGAGGUAACGGCUCACCAAGGCAACGAUACAUAGCCGACCUGAGAGGGUGAUCGGCCACACUGGGACUGAGACACGGCCCAGACUCCUACGGGAGGCAGCAGUAGGGAAUCUUCGGCAAUGGACGGAAGUCUGACCGAGCAACGCCGCGUGAGUGAAGAGGGUUGUCGGAUCGUAAAGCUCUGUUGUAAGAGAAGAACGAGUGUGAGAGUGGAAAGUUCACACUGUGACGGUAUCUUACCAGAAAGGGACGGCUAACUACGUG